rnacentral:tRNA from 1 species
GGGAAUGUGGCUAAGUGGUAGAGCACUUGCCUUGCAAGCAUGAGGCCCUGGGUUCAAUUCCUCAGCACCA